ACUAACUACAUAUGUCAGAUACAUGUAAUGGUGUAAAAAGUAAAAGCUUUUUCAAUGAAAUGUAGUGGAUAAAGUAACAUAAAAUAGAUAUACUCAAGUAAAGUACCUCAAUAUUCAAUAUGUAAGUAAGUGCUUUUCUAAGAAGAUGACACAAACUGACACAUGCAAUCCUCUGUGGAGCUUCUUUACCUCAUUAGGAUUCUGCCCGGCUUCCAGCUGAGCUUUGGCCUGGCCGAGGGCGCCAUCUCUCUCCGACAGGCCAUCGGAAGCCUGCGCAGGAUCAGUGUUGUCCGCCGGGAUCUCCGACCCCUGAGAGAGGAGGUCGUCGCUGCGGUCGUCCAACCUGUCGUCCGUGUUCGUGCUGACCACGUCGGGAGUACCGCUGUGAGAGUGGUCGGUGGUGUGGCCCUCCUCGCCGUCCGACACCGACAGGUUCUCUGAGCUGAAAGUGGACACCGACUGGCACUUGGUGAUGCUGGUCGGGCGCCUGGAGGGAUUCAAAAGAAACAACAAGGAAACCAAAUUUUUAAAUCACAGAAUUGAUAAUAAGCGUAAGAAUGACACAAAUAACAAAUCUUUCUUCUCUGAAUAAAUCAGCAACUUGUCAGAGAGAGAAGAUAUCUUGAGGGAAUUUUCCAGUGACGAAGGACAGCAAGUUACUCACCGUCUCCGUGGUAACUCAACCUCACUGUCAACUUCACCCUCCUCCUCUUCUGAUGACACUCCACGCCUCUGUAAUAAGAAACAGGAAAAAUGUUCAAAGUGAAAAUGAUCAAAGUAUAACCAGAGGAACGCUGAGGAGUGUGAACACGUAUCCAGCACUGUACCUGUUUGCGUGUGAUAGCUGCCCUGUAUAGAAUGGCUGAAGGAGUGAGGUGCUGACUCCCAAUUCCCCCUGAUGCCCCCCGGGGCAACCGCACAGCACCAGCUCCCUCCUCCUUAUCCUCCCCAUCAUGCGGCAAACGUGGAGAUCCCAGAGACCCCCGCCCUGCUGCCGCCCCCCUCCCACAUGGUGAGUCUGGGCUGCUGGAGAACGGGAACGAUGCAGCAUCCUCGCUUGGCGUGUCGCUGCGUGGAGGAGUUUCUGUAAAAUCAUCAAGACCAGCUGCCCCCACCUCGGAUCCCCCUAACCCUGCAGAGGCACUGAGGCUCCCCCCUCUCUCCAGCCCGCCCACAGAGGCCUCCCCUUUCCCCUGGCCCUCUGCCUCUAGCGUGGUGCAAAUGAGGUCAGGGCUGGAGGAGGAUAGCUGCCUCUGCUGCUGCUCGUGGCUGAGGCCCCGCAGGGCUGCAGAGGGCUCCAGGAGCUGCUUGGAGGUGUUAGUGGUAGAACUGUUUGCCUGGGCAGUUGUGUCUCUAUUAGGGGAGGACUGAUUUGCCUUAAGUCCAGCCAGGUCCCCACUGCUGCCCUUACCGGACUUGCGAUGGCGGGUCUUUACCCUCCGAGACCGGCUGGGAGAAGUGGAGCUUCUGUUGGGGCAGGCUGGGAUAGUGACCUGCAUCACGGAGGAAUCCAUUUUGGGAAUGAUUACCUCAGACUUGAGGAUGUCUGGCCUGAAAGUGUAGGAGGGAUUAGUCAACAACUACAAUCCACAAGCCUAAUGAAUAUUCAUUUAUCCACUUCAGUAUCAAUAUUUUAUCAAAUAACGCACGAAAUGAGAUCUCACACCUCUUUGCCGAAGGCAGUUUCUGGGGGACAUUUCUCUUCUUGAUGAGUUUGUCCAUGGAGUUGGAGGAGCUGCUCUGCCUGGAGCUGUGGUGCUUAAACAAACCUGGAUACUUCUUAUCCAAAGACUGCUCUCUCCUGGGAAGAAAAUACCAAAUGACCUCAAAGUGUAAAUGCAUUGUAGUUUAUUAAUUAUGUAAAUAAUGUUAGCAUUUAACAAAAAUAUACCCAUAGAUUUAUUUUUACCUCUGCAACUCUUUCUCUUUGAGCUCCAGUUGCAGCAUGACGGCGCUGAGCUCCAUGUAAAGGUUGUUAGCUCUCUCCAGUUUCCUCUCAUAGUGCUCGCGAAUGUCCAAAGCAUGCCUGAGAAGAAAAGAGGCUGCUGAUGUCAUUGUGCAUCCGCAUGACAGAUUCCAAAUCCUCCACAAUAGACAUGCACUCAAGGCACUUAUUUCAUCCACAGUGCGGACAAAGGAUUAACAUGGAGAAAUGGGACAGAGUGAAAGUGGCCUCAUACAUGUAAGCUAACAUAGUAAAAAGUACCAUCAUCUACUGGUUGGACACCCUUAGUUACCAUGAAACUGUGUAUGUGAGAUCCAAAAGUAAAAAUCAGACCUGAGCUCCUCUCUGCGUCGGUUAAUCAGCUCCUCAUCGAGCCGGUGGAGACAAGUACCCUCAGAUUUAAUCUUCUCAAAGUGCUGUUUCACCUCUUCUCGCCAUUCAGCCUGAUGAGAGCACAUUUCUGUUAACCAGCUCCUUUCUAGCCAGAGCUGACUACUUUUGUAUGGCCAUUACUGUCUGAUGUCUGAUUACUGUGCAAGCAUGUGGGGAUGCAUGUGCAUUUGUGUACAUCCUGUCUGCAUAUUUAAAUGUAUGAUUUGUAUGUCUUUCCAUCUACUGAUCUUCAAUAUUCAGAUUCGGAGACGAAACCAUACCUGAGACUUGAAGUAUGUCUCUUGUGGAGUGGACAGUACAUCAGCUGACGCUAUAUCCAGAUGAAGUAGGAUCUGACGGAAAGAGGGCCUGUUCCUGGGCUUGCAGUUCCUGCAAAUUAAAGACGGGAAAGACGGCUGUGGACAUUACAUUUGCAGUGCACUGCAUUACUCACCAGCACUGCCUGAGGAGGAUCUUGAAGCCAUCAGGGCAGCUCUCGGGUACGGGUAGCUGAAGGCUGUUGUUUCCCACACCCCAGAUGAUGGCAGACGAGUCCACAUCUUUAUAAGGGAUCUCUCCAGUUAACAUCUCCCACAGCACCACUCCGAAGGACCUUAAAGUUAAGCCAAGUUUUAUUAAAUCAGGAAGGACACUGAGGUCAAGAUCUCUCCAAUAAAAGGACACUGGCUCAUUCCGAAUGACUUCAGGAGCCAUCCAAGCUACAGUGCCGGCAAAUGACAUCUUGGUGCUCUUGUCACUGAGCUCCUUUGAGGUGCCAAAGUCAGAGAUCUUUACCAGGUCAUCAUGUGUAAUCAGCAUGCUGCAAAGCCACGUCUUCUCCAUGGAACUUGCCGAGGAAGACAGCCCCCUGCGCCCCACUGCCCACCCACUGCAGGUCGGAGAUUUCCUCAAAAGGAACCUCCCAGGACUCUAAACGCAGACCAACAAGCCAACAAAAACAAACUCGAGUAAAUGCGAAGUCAUGAAGAGUUA